rnacentral:rRNA from 1 species
AGCGAACGCUGGCGGCAGGCCUAACACAUGCAAGUCGAACGAACUCUUCGGAGUUAGUGGCGGACGGGUGAGUAACACGUGGGAACGUGCCUUUUUGUUCGGAAUAACUCAGGGAAACUUGUGCUAAUACCGAAUGUGCCCUUCUGGGGGAAGAUUUAUCGCCAUUAGAGCGGCCCGCGUCUGAUUAGCUAUUUGGUGAGGUAACGGCUCACCAAGGCGACGAUCAGUAGCUGGUCUGAGAGGAUGACCAGCCACACUGGGACUGAGACACGGCCCAGACUCCUACGGGAGGCAGCAGUGGGGAAUCUUGCGCAAUGGGCGAAAGCCUGACGCAGCCAUGCCGCGUGAAUGAUGAAGGUCUUAGGAUUGUAAAAUUCUUUCACCGGGGACGAUAAUGACGGUACCCGGAGAAGAAGCCCCGGCUAACUUCGUG